AUCGGAUCAGCUAUCGGGUCGGGUUAGAAAAGUGACAAUAACGGCGUGAAUGAUUGGUCAUUGCUACAAGUGUCUGCCCUGAAGUGAUCCCCAAGGACGCCGAAUCUGGCGCAAUAUAGCCCACGCCACCGUAUUUGGGUCAGUCGGAGCCUCCGUCAUGGAAGUCACAAAAGAUCCUAACUCAAACCCGGGUCGCUUGGACGAUUCAGAUCCCGAACUCGAACUCUACACCAUCCCAAGCUCUUCAAGAUGGUUCGCGUGGGACGAAAUUCAUGAAACGGAGAGAACAGCAUUCAAGGAAUUCUUCGACGCGAGCUCGAUUUCGAGAACGCCCAAGAUAUACAAAGAAUACAGAGACUUCAUCAUCAACAAGUACAGGGAAGAGCCUUCCAGGAGGCUCACAUUCACCGAGGUCAGAAAAUCGCUGGUUGGUGACGUCACGUUUCUGCACAAGGCGUUCCAUUUCCUAGAGAAUUGGGGCUUGAUCAACUACGGCGCGCCCCCUGCUGCAGACGCAGAGAAGGAGGAGGAGGAGGAGCCGUGCAAAGUUCGCCUCGAAGAAGGAACCCCCAAUGGGAUUCGGGUGGCGGCCACACCGAACUCGUUGAAGCCGAUGUUGUUGCCUCGCGGUGCGAAGACUAGUGCAAAUGCGACCGGGGCUUCUCUCAAAUUGCCGCCGCUCGCCUCCUAUUCGGAUAUUUAUAGGGAUUUGAUUAGGCAGAAAGAGGGGAGCUGUGGACUUUGUGGUGGCAAAUGUGGUUCAGGACAUUACCGUUGUACCCAGGAUAAUUUCAUUAUUUGUGCAAAUUGUUUCAAAAGUGGGAAUUAUGGGGAGAAAAGGUCUGCAGAGGAUUUCGUAUUGAGUGAGUCAAGUGAAAACAGUGGCAAGCAUGACACUGUCUGGACUGAGGGAGAAAUCCUUCUCCUUUUGGAAUCUGUUUUGAAGCAUGGGGAUGACUGGGAACUGGUUGCUCAAAGUGUUCAAACCAAGACUAAACUUGAUUGUAUCUCAAAACUCAUUGAGCUGCCUUUUGGAGAGCUCAUGUUGGGCCCUGCUCACAGAAAUGUCAACGUUAGUGGUGCUAAUGGUACCGUGGUGAACAAUGCAAAACAAGUUCAGUCAUCUUCAUCUGACUACCAAGAAAUUUCAAAAACAAAGGAUCAACCUCCUGAGCUUACAAAAGAAAUUGAGCAGAACGGAGAUGCUGUGAAGGAAAGUCCUUCAAAAAGACAGCGUGUUACUCCCCUGUCAGAUUCCAGUGGUUUUCUAAUGAAUCAGGUGGGACUGAUCUCUAAUGUGGUUGACCCUCAUAUCACAGCUGCUGCAGCUGAUGCUGCUGUUUCAGCUCUUUGUGAUGAGAAUUUGUGUCCAAGGGAGAUAUUUGAUGUUGAAGAAGAUUCAGCAAGAGAUCUUGAGGGAGAAGGUUUAGAGAUGGAGAGGUCCUCUAUAUCAGGUGGACAUUGUAUUAGGAAACCAUAUCAGGGAGAGCAAGGGUUACACAAUGGUGAGUUCAUGUUCCUUGUCAGAUGAAGGUUUGAGUCAGUACCUUGUGAUGGGGUAUUAUAACUAUUUGGAUGGGAUUGAGUUGCUAGAAGUUAAAUUCUUCAAUUGGCUAAGCCAAAAAACCAAGGGUCUGCAAGUAUAUUUGCAUAGGCCUAAGAGACCAAAAACUGGUUAAAAAGUAUUUUUUUGCCAGCAGUCAAAAUAUAUGGAUAUGCUACAAGGGGGUAUCGACCCACAUACUAAAAAUCAAGAGGACGAUCAACAAUUCAGGGAGGAUUUUAUAUCUUAUUUACCGUUACACUAGUAAAUAGUAAUAACCAAGAAAUCUUCCUACUUGAGCCCAUAACAAACAUAAAAUACGGCAACUACAGGCGAAGGAAAAAAGUCACUGUAUACACAUUCAUGCCUACCCUGCCAGCUAUCUGAACCAAUUAUCUUCUCUUCCUCCCCUUUCAAGCAUGCUUCUUAUUACAAUCCUGUGAGACAUGAUCCUGGACUGAAAUCCCAUUGUAUAUACAUCAUGUUAAUACACUGAUCCAGGCUAUUGGUCUUUCCUUGAAGUACACCCAAGUUACGCUCCUUCCAGAGGCUCCAAACAAAUGCAGACCACAGUAAGUUGGGGGACAGAGAAGAAAUACCUUUGCCACUGCGUGUAAGAGCCGCCACUGCAACUGCUCUUGGAGCUGCUGCUGCUCGAGCAAAGUUGUUGGCAGACCAGGAAGUCAGAGAGAUUGAACAUUUAGUGGC